GACGAACGCUGGCGGCGUGCUUAACACAUGCAAGUCGAACGGAAAGGCCCUGCUUUUGUGGGGUGCUCGAGUGGCGAACGGGUGAGUAACACGUGAGUAACCUGCCCUUGACUUUGGGAUAACUUCAGGAAACUGGGGCUAAUACCGGAUAGGAGCUCCUGCUGCAUGGUGGGGGUUGGAAAGUUUCGGCGGUUGGGGAUGGACUCGCGGCUUAUCAGCUUGUUGGUGGGGUAGUGGCUUACCAAGGCUUUGACGGGUAGCCGGCCUGAGAGGGUGACCGGCCACAUUGGGACUGAGAUACGGCCCAGACGCCUACGGGAGGCAGCAGUGGAGAAUAUUGCGCAAUGGGCGGAAGCCUGAUGCAGCAACGCCGCGUGCGGGAUGACGGCCGUCGGGUUGUAAACCGCUUUCGCCUGUGACGAAGCGUGAGUGACGGUAAUGGGUAAAGAAGCACCGGCUAACUACGUG
rnacentral:rRNA from 1 species